rnacentral:sRNA from 1 species
CAUUUUCAGUAAAGAAGUCCUGAGUAAACACGUUGUCGUUGAAUACCGCUUCUCUGCCGAACCUUAUAUUAGUGCCUCAAGCAGUAAUGUCUCAGUUUUAUCUCAGUCAAUGCCUGCGGGCUAAGAAAACACUCUAAGGAAUUUUGCAAAUGGCAAAGAUUAAAGGUCAAGUUAAGUGGUUCAACGAGUCUAAAGGUUUUGGUUUCAUUACUCCUGCUGACGGCAGCAAAGAUGUGUUCGUACACUUCUCUGCAAUCCAGGGUAACGGCUUCAAAACUCUGGCUGAAGGCCAGAACGUUGAGUUCGAAAUUCAGGACGGCCAGAAAGGCCCAGCUGCAGUUAACGUAACUGCUAU